rnacentral:rRNA from 1 species
UUAAAAUUGUUGCAGUUAAAACGCUCGUAGUUGAAUUUCAAAGAAUCAAUAUUUUAAGUAAUGCUUUUGGUUUAAGAUGCUUAGGCAAUACAACGUAUCUGCUCUUUGCAUUCCUUAUCCAAAAUGUGUUCUUAUUAUAAAAAGGAUUCUUUUUAAAAUCUCCUAUACUUUCUUGUACUGGAGAUUUUGUUACUUUGAGUAAAUUAGAGUGUUCAAAGCAAACAGUUAAUGCAUUUUACUGCGUUUGAAUACUACAGCAUGGAAUAACAAAAUUGAACAAGUCAAAAUUCUGUUCUUUUUUCUUAUUUUGACUUAGUUACGAUUAAUAGGAGUAGCUUGGGGGCAUUUGUAUUCAGAUGUCAGAGGUGAAAUUCUUAGAUUUUCUGGAGACAAACAACUGCGAAAGCAUUUGCCUAAAAUAUUUCCAUUAAUCAAGAACGAAAGUUAAGGGAGUGAAGACGAUCAGAUACCGUCGUAAUCUUAACCAUAAACUAUACCAACUAGGUUUUGGAUGAAAAGUUUUUAAAUAAGAAAAUUCCUUUUGGAAAUUUCUUAGAUUGCUUCCUUCAGUACCUUAUGAGAAAUCAAAGUCUUUGGGUUCUGGGGCGAGUAUUCGCGCAAGCGAGAAAGUUAAAAGAAUUGACGGAAGGGCACCACCAGGCGUGGAGCUUGCGGCUUAAUUUGACUCAACACGGGGAAACUCACUAGUUUAAGACAAGAGUAGGAUUGACAGAUUAAUAGCUCUUUCUUGAUUUCUUGGAUGGUGAUGCAUGGCCGUUUUUAGUUCGUGAAUAUGAUUUGUCUGGUUAAUUCCGAUAACGAACGAGAUCUUAACCUGCUAAUUAGCGGCGAAUACGUUAUAUUCCUACUUGAAAUUGAAUAUAGCUGAAUUUUGCUUAUUUUGAAGAAUACAUUAGGAUACAAUUAUAGUGUCCUUUUCCCUUUUCUACUUAAUUUGCUAUUCAUGCUGUUUCUUUUUUGUGUAGGAAUGUAUUCGUUUGAUUGUAAAGCUUCUUAGAGGAACGAUGUGUGUCUAACACAAGGAAGUUUAAGGCAACAACUAG